rnacentral:rRNA from 1 species
AGUGAACGCUGGCGGCAGGCCUAAUACAUGCAAGUCGAACGGCAGCACAGCAGAGCUUGCUCUGUGGGUGGCGAGUGGCGGACGGGUGAGGAAUACGUGGGAAUCUGCCCAGUCGUGGGGGAUAACGUAGGGAAACUUACGCUAAUACCGCAUGCGCCCUUCGGGGAAAGCCGGGGACCUUCGGGCCUGGCGCGAUUGGAUGAGCCCACGUCGGAUUAGCUAGUUGGCGGGGUAAAGGCCCACCAAGGCGACGAUCCGUAGCUGGUCUGAGAGGAUGAUCAGCCACACUGGAACUGAGACACGGUCCAGACUCCUACGGGAGGCAGCAGUAGGGAAUAUUGGACAAUGGGCGCAAGCCUGAUCCAGCCAUGCCGCGUGAGUGAAGAAGGCCCUCGGGUUGUAAA